AACGAACGCUGGCGGCAUGCCUAACACAUGCAAGUCGAACGAGACCUUCGGGUCUAGUGGCGCACGGGUGCGUAACGCGUGGGAACCUGCCCUUAGGUUCGGAAUAACUCCCCGAAAGGGGUGCUAAUACCGGAUAAUGUCUUCGGACCAAAGAUUUAUCGCCUUUGGAUGGGCCCGCGUUGGAUUAGCUAGUUGGUAGGGUAAAAGCCUACCAAGGCGACGAUCCAUAGCUGGUCUGAGAGGAUGAUCAGCCACACUGGGACUGAGACACGGCCCAGACUCCUACGGGAGGGAGCAGUGGGGAAUAGUGGACAAUGGGCGAAGGCCUGAUCCAGCAAUGCCGGGUGAGUGAUGAAGGCCUUAGGGUUGUAAAGCUCUUUUAACCGGGAUGAUAAUGACAGUACCGGGAGAAUAAGCGCCGGCUAACUCCGUG
rnacentral:rRNA from 1 species